AGUUCGUUGGAUCAAUUUAAAUGGAUGUCAACGGUUAUGCCAGUACACAUGAACCAUGGCUAUAGUGCUGCCAGGGUUGUCCCAAAAAAGCCAAGUGUUCCAAUUAUCAAUCCAACACAAGAAUGAGGCCAAAUAUGAAGAUAUUCUUGAUAUCAUGGAUUCUUAUGAGAAACUGCUGCAAAAAACAUUUCAGGAAUCCCAUGGUUUGUUGCUGAACAGUUGAAAUGUUAGAUGAAUUUGGAGUUAUUGCAUCUGGUGACUAACUGACCAAAGUCAGAUUUGAAGGCGCCAAAAAACAAGGUCUCAUGUCUCCAACAACAUCGGGAAGACUUGAUCAUUUGAGACCAGUUGUUAUUGAGCUUUGGCAUCUUAAACAAGAUUACUUAGAAAAAACUUUUAAAGCUUUUUACAAGAUGGAUUCAAUGGAUAAAUUAGGUACCUUGGCAUUUUGGUGAAAUAGACUGAAGAAGACUGAUGUUAAUGGCAAAGUCGAGGGUCACUUCAAUUCACACAGCAAAUUUUUCAAACUUAUUGUAAGGGAGCUAAUUCGAGAACAGGCAUUUGAACUCUUUAAUCUUAAUUUUGAAAAUACUACAGGGUAUCCACUAAACAUCAGCAAGGCAAGCAGAUACACCAAAGAAAACAAAACAAUGGAAUUAGCAGGUGAAGUUCUUCAUAAAUUUGAUGUUAUGCGUACAGGAGUACCUUCAGCAAGCAAUGAUGAUUUAUUCAAUUAAAGUACAAAUUUUACAAUUAGGGGAUUACACUACCUACAAAUGGAAGACACUAUAAAAG